CCUACGGGGGGCAGCAGUGGGGAAUAUUGGACAAUGGGGGCAACCCUGAUCCAGCCAUGCCUCGUGUGUGAAGAAGGCCCUCGGGUUGUAAAGCACUUUCAGUGAGGAAGAACGCCUGGUGGUUAAUACCCAUCAGGAAAGACAUCACUCACAGAAGAAGCACCGGCUAACUCCGUGCCAGCAGCCGCGGUAAUACGGAGGGUGCGAGCGUUAACGGAAUUACUGGGCGUAAAGCGCGCGUAGGUGGCUUGAUAAGCCGGUUGUGAAAGCCCCGGGCUCAACCUGGGAACGGCAUCCGGAACUGUCAAGCUAGAGUGCAGGAGAGGAAGGUAGAAUUCCCGGUGUAGCGGUGAAAUGCGUAGAGAUCGGGAGGAAUACCAGUGGCGAAGGCGGCCUUCUGGACUGACACUGACACUGAGGUGCGAAAGCGUGGGUAGCAAACAGGAUUAGAUACCCUGGUAGUC
rnacentral:rRNA from 1 species